GCGCAAACUUUUCCCCUGGCCCGGGCGGCCGGGCGACAAGUUCGCGCGGUGCUUUGAAGUCGGAUAUAGAUUCGCCGUGGAACCGAGCGCGAAACUCGAUAUCUAAUUACACGCUCUCUCGAGUCACCACCGGAAGCAAGAUCGCCGAUGUUUCACCCCGCCGGUUAAUCUUCGGUCGCUCUCGCUCGCCCGCUUCCGCCCGCCGACAGUUUCGCGCCAGCUUUAUCGGCCGUCGCAUCGUAUAGCAAGGCGGAACGCGUAAUCUCGUUUCGCUCUUAAUCUAAUUGAAAUCUGCCGGCGACGUAUCUGUGAAAUACUUUUUACAAUUACCGCGAUUUGCAGCUUUGUCCCUCGAUGAGCGAAUAAUCAGAAAGGAGGCAUCGAGCGUCCGCGGAGAUCCGUGGACGCGCGAUGAGGAUCUUCUGCAAGAACACUAUUGUAAGAUCGAUGACAUAAUCCUGACUGAGGAAAAGAAGUCUCUGAUCGGGCCUCGAUCGAUUCGGCGAGUCAAUCAGCUUCAACGAUUCAUCUUAUGCAGUCUGCAGAAGUCCGCUGAUGCAUUAAUGUUAAUCGUGAGGCGCCUUACGUCGACUAUGCUGUUUUAUUCAACGCGGUUUUAAGGUAAUAUAAAAAUGAAUAAGUUUACGCUUGCUCCUUACAUUCGCUCUUCCUCUUGCUUGUACCGUCUUACUCGUUCGCGUCAGUGCUUGGGCGCGCAUGUAACUUGUGUUGGUGACACAGUGGAUUCGUGUUGAACACGAGCGGAGUGUAGAGCGAGUUGUCGGGCCGAGUUUUCGGAAGUAUCGAACGGGUUCCACGUCUCGCUCGGUCCCCUUCCCCGUCCCCGUGCUCCCCUUGUCCCGUUGGUCCCGGAGAACUCUACUUUGGUGAUGGUAUCCUGCCGCCCGUGUUGUCCGACGCGUUGCCGAAUUUUGGCAAUGAUUGAUGGCUAUUAAGGACCGGGCCAAACCCGUUCCUCUCACACACGUGCACCGAGCUGCUUAUAGCGCGUGCUACGCAUGCACGCUAUAUUUGCGAUUACAGCCGAAAAUAGAGCACCGUGAAUGAAACCUCAGGGCUGGACCAACCGCUCGCCAGCACCCGCGGGAGAUGCCAUGCUCAGGAGCCAGUCACGAAGACGUUUAUGCUUCAAACACCAGCAAUUUUCAAAAGGAGGAAUUUGUAAAAAAAUACAGCGGACCGUUAGAGCAGUACAUGUUACAAAUUGCGUUACAAUACUUAUUUAUUUUAAAUUUCUCGUAGCAUCGAACAGCUGCUGUGCUCGAGUCAGCGUUGCAACGGGAUCCAACGUGCUCAUCUUGAUGCUGCUCGGUAUAUUCGAGUGAGUUUUGAAAAAUCGAAUGCGACACAAGCACGAUCUGGCUGUUCCCUUUGGUUCCUCUUAUUGCGCGCUCGAUACAAGCUCGCCAUGCUCAGGAUUGCAACUGACGAAGGGCUCGAAGGGACGGACGGAGGCAGAUCGAUGGUCGGCGGCAAUGGAGAGGCGAGCGUCGAUGAAAAGGUCAAAGGUUUCAGGUGUGUUUGCGCUUCGCGCACGGCUGGUACAGGUGCAGCCUCUUCCACGGCUCUGCUCGCCGUUGCAACAGCAACAUACAUGACUCUUUAUUAACAACAAUUAACAUUCGGACUAUUGUUCAUACGAGGAUAUCUCUCGUCGACGAUGCACCGCAUCGCGUGACAGCCGCAGCUGAAAUAACAUCGUCUGAUCUCUCGUGACGCGAUUCCUGCUGAAGCGGCAGCGAGCCAUCUGUGGGAACCAGCCGUGACAAUAUAACAAAUCAUAUUUGCAAAAUGAUUACGGCGGUAAAAUGCAAUAUAUUCCCGUUGCAAAACUGCGUUCUUCGGCGAACACGUUUAUGAAACCUUGCGCACCAAUAAAUAUCCCUGCAAAUUAUCGUGCGGUGCAGUUGCGCGCUAUGAAACUCAAGCGGUGAAAUACCACGCGAGGAAUUAACAUAAAAUGUGGAAUUAACGAUAAAAUAUGCGUAAUUGAUUUAUAUUGCGCACUGAUAUUACGUAUUCCUCGCUGCGUUAACCCGUGAAAUUGUUCUGCCUAUGAAAAUUCCCACCAACAUCACUCUCGUAACCGAAAAUAUAUUAUAAUUACAGAAACAUUGAUAUCAAUAUUUCUUAUCAGCCUGUAACAACACAUUCCACGGGAUAAAUAUGUUCCUGAUUGAUGAUCAUGGUUGGCGGGGGGAUGCUUCCUUCUUAGGAUCAAAUCUACCCAUUAGCAUACUUCCAAUUCCAGUGGCGGAUGGACGAAGCCCGCAGACGCGUAUUUACCGUAACGUAGCUAAUUAUCUGCCAAUCCGUAGCGGUCUUGGCGGGACCGAAUAAGUCGCAAACGGCCGGCCGAUAAGGUUCGCGUGUAACAGGAGAGUAUCUGCGACUGCAAGAGGACCAGCCUCGCCCCGGUGAUUUGAACGCGUGUGUCGCACGAUUGCGCUCGGCUUCAGCGCAACCAGCUCGGCUUACGUACUCUCCCGCUCCAAAGAUUUACCAGUCUCCGGUUAUGUUUUAUGCACCAUUAUGUUUUCGAUUACGGUAGGUUAGUUGCAUCGGUAGCGUCAGCUCUGUCGUCAGCAAGCGUCGCCGAUACGUCAAAGCUCGCCGGGAACACGUAAUUGUUCGCGCGUUGCGUGGCGAACGAGUGCGUCAUCGAGCCUUUCAAAGCCGACCUGGGUGUCCGACCUCGGCACACGCAACGAUACGGCACAGCACCAGACACGAGCAUAUCGUCACGUCACCGGGAGAUACAGCUUUCCGCUCGCCUUGCAUUUUUGUGCACACGAAUGACACGCCUGGUUGAUGAUGAUUGACGUUGCACGUAAGAUUGAAAGAGAUGGGAAAUGUGAAAAGUGUUUGUUGAAUCGGUGCAGUUAUUCUUUCCUUGGAUGACUGAUACGCUUUUUGAUUGCUUGUGAUAUAUCCGUAAUAUAUAUGUAUAUGUGUUGUGAUGUAACAUAAGCGAAAGUGCGAUAUUUUCAAUGUUGUGUAAUAUAAAAGUGAUAACUGAUGUAUUCGGAUGAAAUUGUUUCUGAAUCUCGAAGUAAUUCGGCUUUUUCUUUCUAAUGUAUUGAAUGCUGGAGUUUUAUAGCACAACUUCUAUGUGUAUAAUCUUUUAUCAUUCCGAAUAUUGAGAGUUAACAUUUCAAACAUUUCAUAAUGAUGAAACAAAUGAUACUGAUAUUUAAUACAAUCAUCUUAUAAUUGCAGUUAGAUAAAGAAAAAUAAUGUUUUUACAUCGGCUGCGUCAUUAUUUUGCUGGUGAUGGCUGACCAAAUACUCACGUUGCAGACGACACAUUGAGUGUAGAUAAAUCUGUUGGCAAAAGAUAGCGAGCUGGUAAAGUCGACACAGCGGAUAUUUUUGUAGCAGUAAAGCAGAAGUAGCAGAAGCUAGCCUCGACUGAUUUUUACGCAUAUCAUUAUUGUUACGUCAGUGACGUUGCGGUAAUAUUUUUAUACUUAUCUAGUUUACAUCGCAUAUACAUACAUUUAAUUGUAUUUUUAGAGAGAAGUUUGUAAUUUUGUCCUUAAAGGAUUCUAAGGAUUCUAUUUUGAAUAUCGAAAUAAAAUUAAAAUAAAAGAUAAAUAAAAGAUACU